GUCUGACCUGCUUUACAAUUGUGUCAUGAUAUUUAUAGAGCCUGGGUAGCUCAGCUGGUAGAGCAUUCAAUUUUCAAUCUGAGAGUCCAGGCUUCAAGUCCCUGUCUGCUGUUGUUUUGUCUUAGAGCAGAGGAAACUGAGAGGGGAGCAUGAUUGAGAUGUAUACAAUUAUGAAGGGCAUAAAUAGGUUAGGCCGAAGAAACUUUUCCAUUUGAUGGUUGGAUCAAUGACCAAGGGGAUAGAUUUAAGGUAAGGGCAGGAGGUUGAGAGGGGAUGUGAGAAAAAUGUUUAUUAUCGAGAGGGUAGUGGGAAUCUGAAACUUGUAAAGGUAGUAGAGGCAGAAAUCCUCAUAACACUCAAGAACUAUAUACUUGCACUAGUGACGCCAAAAUAAGCAAGGCUAUGGGCAAUUCAUGGAAAAUGGGAAGAACAGUUAGGUGCAUAUUUUUGAUUAGCACAGACUCAAUGGGCCAAAGGACUUAUAUCUGUGUCAUGGAUCU